rnacentral:rRNA from 1 species
AGAGGGUGCAAGCGUUAAUCGGAAUUACUGGGCGUAAAGGGCACGUAGGUGGUGGAAUAAGUGGAUUUUGAAAUCUCUGGGCUUAACCUGGAGGGGUGAAUUUAAACUGUUUUACUAGAGUAUAUGAGAGGGUAGAGGAAUUUCCGGUGUAGCGGUGAAAUGCGUAGAUAUCGGAAGGAAGGCCGGUGGCGAAGGCGUCUACCUGGUAUAUAACUGACACUGAGGUGCGAAAGCGUGGUUAGCGAACAGGAUUAGAUACCCUGGGUAGUCCACGCCGUAAACGCUGUCAACUAGCUGAUUGUUUUUUCGGAAAUGAGUGGCGCAGCUAACGCUUUAAGUUGACCGCCUGGGGAGUACGGCCGCAAGGCUA